UACGUAGGGGGCUAGCGUUGUCCGGAUUUAUUGGGCGUAAAGAGCGUGUAGGCGGCCAGGUAGGUCUGCUGUGAAAACUCGAGGCUCAACCUCGAGACGUCGGCGGAAACCAUCUGGCUAGAGUGCGGUAGGGGAGAUCGGAAUUCCUGGUGUAGCGGUGAAAUGCGCAGAUAUCAGGAGGAACACCGGUGGCGAAGGCGGAUCUCUGGGCCGUAACUGACGCUGAGGAGCGAAAGCAUGGGGAGCGAACAGG
rnacentral:rRNA from 1 species